AUUGAACGCUGGCGGCAGGCUUAACACAUGCAAGUCGAGCGGAGAUGAGGUGCUUGCACCUUAUCUUAGCGGCGGACGGGUGAGUAAUGCUUAGGAAUCUGCCUAUUAGUGGGGGACAACAUUCCGAAAGGAAUGCUAAUACCGCAUACGUCCUACGGGAGAAAGCAGGGGAUCUUCGGACCUUGCGCUAAUAGAUGAGCCUAAGUCGGAUUAGCUAGUUGGUGGGGUAAAGGCCUACCAAGGCGACGAUCUGUAGCGGGUCUGAGAGGAGGAUUCGCCACACUGGGACUGAGACACGGACCAGACUCCUAGUGGAGGCAGCAGUGGGGAAUAUUGGACAAUGGGCGGAGGCCUGAUCCAGCCAGGCCGCGUAGGUGAAGAAGGCCUUUUGGUUGUAAAGCACUUUAAGCGAGGGGGAGGCUACCUAGAUUAAUACUCUGGGAUAGUGGACGUUACUCGCAGAAUAAGCAACGGCUAACUCUAUGCCAGCCGCCGCGGUAAAAC
rnacentral:rRNA from 1 species